rnacentral:rRNA from 1 species
GCCAUGCGAGUCGAGAGGGUUCGGCCCUCGGCUGACGGCUCAGUAACACGUGGAUAAUCUGCCCUAAGGUGGAGGAUAACCUCGGGAAACUGAGAAUAAUACUCCAUAAGUCUAGGAUGCUGGAAUGCAUUUAGGCUGAAAACUUCGGUGCCUUAGGAUGAGUCUGCGGACUAUCAGGUUGUAGUCAGGGUAAAGACCUGACUAGCCUACGACGGAUACGGGUUGUGAGAGCAAUAACCCGGAGAUGAUAUCUGAGACACGAUAUCAGGCCCUACGGGGCGCAGCAGGCGCGAAAACUUCGCACUGCGCGGAAGCGCGACGGGGGAAUCCCAAGUGUAUGCACGUAAGUGUAUACUGUUUCUCUGUCUAAAAAGCAGAGAGAGUAAGAGCUGGGUAAGACGGGUGCCAGCCGCCGCGGUAAUACCUGCAGCUCGAGUGGUGAUCGUUAUUAUUGGGCCUAAAACGUCCGUAGCCGGUCUUGUAAAUGCCUGGGUAAAUCGUAUGGCUUAACCAUACGAAUUCCGGGUAGACUGUUAGACUUGAGACCGGGAGAAGCUAGAGGUACUCCUGGGGUAGAGGUGAAAUUCUGUAAUCCUAGGGGGACCACCAGUGGCGAAGGCGUCUAGCUAGAACGGGUCUGACGGUGAGGGACGAAGCCCUGGGGCGCAAACGGGAUUAGAUACCCCGGUAGUCCAGGGUGUAAACGCUGCUUGCUUGAUGUUAGUCUGGCUCCGAGCCAGAUUAGUGUCGGAGAGAAGUUGUUAAGCAAGCUGCCUGGGAAGUACGGCCGCAAGACUGAAACUUAA